GGAAUAGCACUGGCCUCCUGCACCGCCUCUCUCCUCUCUCUCAUUGGUGGAGGCCAUAAGCGUCCAUACCUCUCCUGCACACACACACACACACACACACACACACACACACACACACACACACACACACCACUCCGUCGCCCUGCAGUCCACACUCCACAACAGCACACCGUCAGCAGCGAGUGGCAGCAGGCGGGGUUGCUUGGCGUGAGCACCGUGGCGGCGUGCCCAGGCAGCGGGUGCUGCAGUGGGGUCGUGGCCGCGGAGGCAGACCAGCUCACGCAGGGCCAGAGCCAGGCCAGCUGGGUUAGGCCUGUGAGCACGAACGUUGGACAAAACCAAACGCACAGAAACAUCCGCGCACGGUAUUGGCUUUGCUUCUCCGCUGACGUCACAUGUUCCUUCUGACGUCACGCAGCGAGCCAGCCAAUGACGUCAGCCCCACGUCACACCCCGGCCUCCCGGAGCGGCAGGAGCGCUUACCACGGAGCAAAAAAGCGCUCGCUUUCAAACCAAACACUGACACGUUUCAGUGGAGUGAGUCUCUCUCGGCUCUCCUCCGCCGGCGGGUCUCUCGGGCCUCGGAGUCCUGGUGCAGGGAUUGAGGCGCCCUGGCCAUACAGGGAGUGAGAGAAGAUGUGGUGACUGUGGUGUGGUGUGGUGCAAGUGGUGCUGGUGUGGUGUUGGUAGUGGCUGUGGUGCGGGACAGCAUUAAACCACUCUGCUGCUGCUGCUGCUGCUGCUGCUGCUGCUGCUGCUGCACUUCGCCCAAGACACUAGGACAGCUGACGGAGAUGAGUGGGCGAGUGCGGCGUGAUGCUGUCGUCUUUUCGGCCAAUGGCACACAGUGAACAGACUGGUGGCACCACGGGGCGCGUCACUUUGACGCAGCGGCCGUCACACACUCACAGUCACACAGCAGACAAGCAGUUCACGGGGCCGUACAGCACGUAUUAUUUGCACGCCCACAUCCUAACACCCUCCGCCUACGUCCACUGUGCCCACGCCCACACCCCACCUGUGUCCCUCAACUGGCGUGCCCAAGAAGGUUCAUCACGACCCUGUCAGGAAACGCUUAGGAGGACAGUCAGUGUGGGCACGUGAGGGGACCUUGGGUCAUAAGAGGCCACGCAAGACUCCUGGCGUGGCCUUGGCUUGAGUAAUGACCUUUGUUUACUACAGAUGUGCUCCACAUCAAGGCGGUAAUCAAUAUGACGUAAGUUUAAUGAUAGAUUCCACCACAAGUGUCUAUGUAAUGAGUGUUGCAAUCACUCUAACUCUUCCAAUGCACGAGACAAUUGGAAAAUAAAUGAGUAAGUUCUUAUUAUCAGGUUAACAAAACCGUUGCAUUAUGACGAAAGAUUGAAAGAAGGAG